CCUACGGGGGGCAGCAGUGGGGAAUAUUGCACAAUGGGGGAAACCCUGAUGCAGCGACGCCGCGUGAGCGAUGAAGUAUUUCGGUAUGUAAAGCUCUAUUUGUAGGGAAGAAAAUGACGGUACCUGACUAAGAAGCUACGGCUAACGACGUGCCAGCAGCCGCGGUAAGACGGAGGGGGCAAGCGUUAUCCGGAUUUACUGGGUGUAAAGGGAGCGUAGUCGGCUUGGCAAGCCAGAUGUGAAAGGCUGGGGCUCAACCCCAGGACUGCAGUUGAAACUGUCAUGCUAGAGUGUCGUAGAGGCAGGCGGAAUUCCUAGUGUAGCGGUGAAAUGCGUAGAUAUUAGGAAGAACACCAGUGGCGAAGGCAGCCUGCUGGACGAUGACUGACGUUGAUGCUCGAAAGCGUGGGGAGCAAACAGGAUUAGAUACCCUUGUAGUC
rnacentral:rRNA from 1 species